UGGGGAAUAUUGCGCAAUGGGCGAAAGCCUGACGCAGCGACGCCGCGUGAGGGAUGAAGGUUUUCGGAUCGUAAACCUCUGUCAGAAGGGAAGAAACCGCACUGUGCUAAUCAGCAGUGCCUUGACGGUACCUUCAAAGGAAGCACCGGCUAACUCCGUGCCAGCAGCCGCGGUAAUACGGAGGGUGCAAGCGUUAAUCGGAAUUACUGGGCGUAAAGCGCACGUAGGCUGCUUUGUAAGUCAGGGGUGAAAUCCCACGGCUCAACCGUGGAACUGCCAUUGAUACUGCUUAGCUUGAAUCCGGGAGAGGGUGGCGGAAUUCCAGGUGUAGAAGUGAAAUCCGUAGAUAUCUGGAGGAACAUCAGUGGCGAAGGCGGCCACCUGGACCGGUAUUGACGCUGAGGUGCGAAAGCGUGGGGAGCAAACAGG
rnacentral:rRNA from 1 species